GGAGUUAGCCGGUGCUUCUUCUGCGAGUAACGUCACAGAUGUAAGGUAUUAACUUACACCCUUUCCUCCUCGCUGAAAGUGCUUUACAACCCGAAGGCCUUCUUCACACACGCGGCAUGGCUGCAUCAGGGUUUCCCCCAUUGUGCAAUAUUCCCCACUGCUGCCUCCCGUAGGAGUCUGGGCCGUGUCUCAGUCCCAGUGUGGCUGAUCAUCCUCUCAGACCAGCUAGGGAUCGUCGCCUAGAUGAGCCUUUACCUCACCUACUAGCUAAUCCCACCUGGGCUUAUCCAUCAGCGCAAGGCCCGAAGGUCCCCUGCUUUCCCCCGUAGGGCGUAUGCGGUAUUAGCAGUCGUUUCCAACUGUUAUCCCCCACAAAUGGGCAAAUUCCCAGGCAUUACUCACCCGUCCGCCGCUCGUCAUCUUCAAAGCAAGCUUUUGAAAUGUUACCGCUCGACUUGCAUGUGUUAGGCCUGCCGCCAGCGUUCAAUCUGAGCCAGGAUCAAACUCUGA
rnacentral:rRNA from 1 species